rnacentral:rRNA from 1 species
CAACCUGCCCAUCACUUGGGGAUAACCUUGCGAAAGUAAGACUAAUACCCAAUGACGUCUCUANAANNCAUCUGAAAGAGAUUAAAGAUUUAUCGGUGAUGGAUGGGGAUGCGUCUGAUUAGCUUGUUGGCGGGGUAACGGCCCACCAAGGCAACGAUCAGUAGGGGUUCUGAGAGGAAGGUCCCCCACAUUGGAACUGAGACACGGUCCAAACUCCUACGGGAGGCAGCGGUGAGGAAUAUUGGUCAAUGGACGAGAGUCUGAACCAGCCAAGUAGCGUGCAGGAAGACGGCCCUAUGGGUUGUAAACUGCUUUUAUAAGGGAAUAAAGUGAGAGUCGUGACUCUUUUUGCAUGUACCUUAUGAAUAAGGACCGGCUAAUUCCGUGCCAGCAGCCGCGGUAAUACGGAAGGUCCGGGCGUUAUCCGGAUUUAUUGGGUUUAAAGGGAGCGUAGGCCGGAGAUUAAGCGUGUUGUGAAAUGUAGAUGCUCAACAUCUGCACUGCAGCGCGAACUGGUUUCCUUGAGUACGCACAAAGUGGGCGGAAUUCGUGGCGUAGCGGUGAAAUGCUUAGAUAUCACGAAGAACUCCGAUUG